rnacentral:lncRNA from 1 species
GAGCUGCGCAGGGAGAAGCGGCAGCUGAGGAAAGCGCGGCGCCUGCAGAGGACCGCGGGCCUCGGGGACCGGGAGGGGGGCACCGGCCGCAUGCGGGGCCCGGCUAAGGACCUGACGACCUCGGUGACCCCGACUAAGGACCGGAUGACCCCGGAGGCCCGGGCUAAGGACCGCAAGACCCCGGCGACCCGGGCCACGGCUCCGGGUACCCUCGGGAAGCCCCGACCCGCCGGCGCCGCCGCCGCCCGGAAGCGGGCCCUUCUAGCGGCCAACGAGGAGGAGGACCGAGAGAUCCGGAAGCUGGAGCGAUGCCUCGGUCUGAACAAGCGCAGGAAGAAGGGCGACAGCAGCUCGGUGCUGCUCAGCUUUGCCCGGGACGGCUUGGACUACAUCCUGGGAGCCCUGGAGCCCGGGAGAGGCGGCUGCUUGUACGAAAGCAGCGAGGGGGAGGGGGAGGAGGGAGAGGCCGGACAGACCCUCCCCGAGAGUGACCUAGAGAGCAGCUCGGGGGACAGUGAGGACGACUCUGACGCGGGAGCGCAGCCGGAGGACCAGGAGGAUGGAGACCAGCAAAGCGAGGAAGCAGCUGAAUGUGGCGCGCGAGGAAAUAAAGGGACUAAGAGAGUCCGUUUUGCAGAAGCCGUAGAAGAGAGGGAAGGUUCUGCAGAAGAUGACAAAGAGCAUCAGGAGAAUCAGAGUGUUGGAAAUACUGGUGACAAGUACGUCCCACCUCGUGUGAGGGUAGAGGAGACGCUGGAUGUCCACAAGAAGGAAGAGCUGGAAAGACUUAAGAAGCAGGUCAAAGGCCUGAUUAACAGGUAACCUUCCAGAGCUGUGUAGUCUACCCCUUCAGGAGGUUGUCUUCCUAAACAUAAA